rnacentral:lncRNA from 1 species
UUUAUAAACGAGCCUGUAGAUACACACCCCCCCACCUGCAGAUCAGUUACCUCGGUCCCACCAAGCUGCCGUCCUAUGAGGAGGCUGCAGCCGAGCUCAGAGCUCCACCCCCUCCGUACAGUACUGUGUUUGUCCUGCAGGGCGGCGCUCUACUCUCCUCCCGCAGCUCUGGGACCUUUAGCUCCUCCUCCUCCGAGUCCAGCUCUCUGUUCUCUAGCUCCGCCCCCACGGACGACCUGCUGACCAGCAGCGCCACCACGCCCAGCGACUCCGUGCCAUGCUUAGCUCCACCUCCCAUAGCAGAAGAGACCAAUCCUGAACAGUCGGUGUGUGGGACAACACUGUUGCCACGCCCACAGGAGUUGGAGUCUAUCUUACACAAAGAAGGCGGAGCCGAGGAGAGAGCCAGAGCCCCGCCCUCUGCCGGCAGACACGCCGCGUUCUCCUCCAGUGUGUCGGUGCUGGAGAUUGAGGGGCGGGGCAGCGAAGAGGACCUGAAGGAGAACAGGUUCCGGAUGCGCACUCUGACGGGCGACUCCGGGAUCGAGGUGUGUCGCUGCAGAGUGAUCCAGGAGGAGGAGGAGGACGAAGAGGAGGAGGAGGGGCGUGAAGUGGGUGGAGCUUGGCCUAUCCAUGAUAGUGUGGACUGUCCACGGCGGACUUUUUCUGACCAAUCAGAGCUCUCGGCGGUGGGCUGCAGUCAUUGCGGCUCCGCCUACUGCAAGCAGAGGGGCGGAGAUUCCUCAGUUACAGUGGAAUCCUUAUAAAAACAACCAAUGAAAUGUGUGAAAGGAAUUAUUUGUAAAUGAAACAUAUAUUUAAAUUUGUAUUUUAUUCCUCGAUUAGCUGCGACGCAUUUAGCACUUCUUUAGAUUUACGCUGCUAACAAUGCUAACAGAUACCAAAAUAUAUGCCUUAUCAAUUAGCCUGAUGCUAAUAAUAUUUUGUGUCUGUGUUUUUUAAGCUUUUUAUUUAUUAUUAUUCCUUUAAUGCAGCAGCAGCGCCUCCUGUGGCAGUGUUUAUAACACUUUAUAAAAACACUGAGCUUUUGCUCAGUCUUACCUCCAUAUCCCAAAUCUCCAUUCAUUACUCUGUAGGUAGAAGUAUAGAUACUCAUGUUUAUAAAAUACUUCUGUAGAAGAAUCAACUCAAGCUUUUUACUCUUUAAGUAAAAGUGUAAAAGUACUGGAUUCAAAAAUACUUAAAGUAUAAAAGUAAAAGUAAUGUAAGGAGAAACAUUAAACCCAUUAAGAACAGAAGCUUAGGCCACGCCCACAGAGUCCUAUAGUGCACUAAAACACCCUCCCCCCAAAACACUACAUUUUACUAAAAGCUAUAAUGACUAUAAUAAUGUUUAAAUAUUAAAAUGUUAAUGUU